rnacentral:lncRNA from 1 species
AUAUUCUCACAACUGGGAUGAAGGACCCUUCCCUGUGCUUCUCUGCAGCUGCUUGGCUAACGCUGCAGUUUCCUCCUGCUGGCCAGCAUUCACUGGCAUGGGCUAUGCCCACAGAAGCCCAGGAGGCAGAUUUGUGACUCUGCUUCUCCCACUCCCAGCUACCGUCCAUGAGGCAUGCCAGAGCUGCAGCACUGGAAAAGAGCAUCUGACUAAAUUUAACAGGCAGGACAAGGAGGACACGCCUAUGCUUGCUGGACUGGAAAAAUUUGAAGAAAGGGAAAGAAGAGGCUUGUAAGCAUUGCUCUACUGCACUGAUUCAACACUUGCAUCAACAAAAUUGAUCCAUUGUUCUUUUUGGUGGAAACCAAAGCUUUUAGAAAGCACUGCUGCAGAAAACAGCUGGAUUUAUACUCAAAGGAAAAAGAAAAGAUGAUUUACUGUAUCUUUGUUUUGGAGGGUUUAGAGGAAUUCAGUGGGCAGGCUCUGUGGUUCCAUAGGGACAAGCCAGCCCUGCCAGUUCUGAAUUAAACCCAACAAAAAUGGGAGCUGCACAUAUUAGUGAGACAGCCAUCAUAUAAAAAUAUGGAUCGGAUGGGUUUCCCUUGUUGUACAUCCAAUUUUAACAAUCCAAGCUUUUUAUUAUUGUUAUUUUAAAAAUCCCAGCUGCACUGUGUUUUCAGGAAAAGAGGAACAGAAACGGCAGCAGCAGGUAUGGCUGGGGCCUUUGCCUUUUAAAUCUUGCCUAUGGUAUGUCGGCACCUCCGCACUGUGCAGCCACUGACAUUAAUAUCUGCUGAAGCUGCUGGAAUCUCCCUUUCAUAAUCCAAGGAAGCCAGAGAGGAUGCUGUUGACCUACAGAUAUGAUAGUAGUGGACAAAGUCUGGACCUUGGAUGUUUGAACAUGUAAGUGGGCUCUCAGGAACAGAGCCCUGCAUUCGAUCAGUGGCACAGAUUACAAAUGUCUAUGAACAGUGCUUGUCUGACUGCUGUUUUUCGCCGAGCCAAACAAAACACUAUUGGUGAACUACAAAACAGAUGAACAUGCUCCUAUUUUUUGGCACAUGAAAGGAAACCUGCUUUACCCAGCCACAUCUGUUUCUUUGAUUUAACUCCAUGCUCAUUCCUGUUAGCUUUGGAUGAGUGGUUUGGCAAAUACACUGCAGCCUGCUUCACUGAAAAAAAAAAGGCUUCCUGGGGAAAUAAACCCCUGUAUGAGACUUUGAUGUGAAUAUAU